UUUUCUGUAGUGUAGUGGUUAUCACGUCGCUUCAACACGCGAAGGUCCCUGGUUCGACUAAACCAGGCAGAAACA
rnacentral:tRNA from 1 species